rnacentral:rRNA from 1 species
CACGGGUGAGUAACACGUAUCCAACCUGCCGUCUACUCUUGGCCAGCCUUCUGAAAGGAAGAUUAAUCCAGGAUGGCAUCAUGAGUUCACAUGUCCGCAUGAUUAAAGGUAUUUUCCGGUAGACGAUGGGGAUGCGUUCCAUUAGAUAGUAGGCGGGGUAACGGCCCACCUAGUCUACGAUGGAUAGGGGUUCUGAGAGGAAGGUCCCCCACAUUGGAACUGAGACACGGUCCAA